rnacentral:tRNA from 1 species
GGUCUGGUGGUGUAGUUGGUUAUCACGUCAGUCUAACACACUGAAGGUCUCUGGUUCAAGUCCGGGCUGGAUCA